rnacentral:rRNA from 1 species
GACGGGUGAGUAAUGCUUGGGAACAUGCCUUUAGGUGGGGGACAACCAUUGGAAACGAUGGCUAAUACCGCAUAAUGUCUACGGACCAAAGGGGGCUUCGGCUCUCGCCUUUAGAUUGGCCCAAGUGGGAUUAGCUAGUUGGUGAGGUAAUGGCUCACCAAGGCGACGAUCCCUAGCUGGUUUGAGAGGAUGAUCAGCCACACUGGAACUGAGACACGGUCCAGACUCCUACGGGAGGCAGCAGUGGGGAAUAUUGCACAAUGGGCGCAAGCCUGAUGCAGCCAUGCCGCGUGUGUGAAGAAGGCCUUCGGGUUGUAAAGCACUUUCAGUUGUGAGGAAAGGUUAGUAGUUAAUACCUGCUAGCUGUGACGUUAGCAACAGAAGAAGCACCGGCUAACUCCGUGCCAGCAGCCGCGGUAAUACGGAGGGUGCGAGCGUUAAUCGGAAUUACUGGGCGUAAAGCGUACGCAGGCGGUUUGUUAAGCGAGAUGUGAAAGCCCCGGGCUCAACCUGGGAACUGCAUUUCGAACUGGCAAACUAGAGUGUGAUAGAGGGUGGUAGAAUUUCAGGUGUAGCGGUGAAAUGCGUAGAGAUCUGAAGGAAUACCGAUGGCGAAGGCAGCCACCUGGGUCAACACUGACGCUCAUGUACGAAAGCGUGGGGAGCAAACGGGAUUAGAUACCCCGGUAGUCCACGCCGUAAACGAUGUCUACUAGGAGUUCGGUUUUUCGGAACUGUCUUCCAAAGCUAACGCAUUAAGUAGACCGCCUGGGGAGUACGGCCGCAAGGUUAAAACUCAAAUGAAUUGACGGGGGCCCGCACAAGCGGUGGAGCAUGUGGUUUAAUUCGAUGCAAACGCG